UACAGAGGUCCCAAGCCGUUGUUCGGAUUCAUUGGGCGUAAAGGGUGCGUAGGCGGGUAAGUAAGUCCGUGGUGAAAUCUCUGAGCUUAACUCAGAAACUGCCGUGGAUACUAUUUGCCUUGAAUAUUGUGGAGGUGAGCGGAAUAUGUCAUGUAGCGGUGAAAUGCUUAGAUAUGACAUAGAACACCAAUUGCGAAGGCAGCUCACUACACAAUUAUUGACGCUGAGGAGCGAAAGCGUGGGGAGCAAACAGG
rnacentral:rRNA from 1 species